GAUGAAGAACGUAGCGAAAUGCGAUAAGUAAUGUGAAUUGCAGAAUUCAGUGAAUCAUCGAAUCUUUGAACGCACCUUGCGCUCCUUGGUAUUCCGAGGAGCAUGCCUGUUUGAGUGUCAUUAAAUUCUCAAUCAUUAUCAACUUUUGCUGAUAAUGGCUUGGAUGUGGGGGUCUAUUUUGCUGGCUUCUCAGAUAGUCAGCUCCCCUUAAAUGCAUUAGCCGGUGCCCCGCGUUGACUGUCUAUUGGUGUGAUAAUUAUCUACGCUAUAGACAUCUGCAAUCAUAUGGGUUUGCGCUGCUUCUAACAGUCUGUUGAUUCAGACAAUACAUGACAAUUUGACCUCAAAUCAGGUAGGACUACCCGCUGAACUUAAGCAUAUCAAUAAGCGGAGGA
rnacentral:misc_RNA from 1 species